rnacentral:rRNA from 1 species
UACGUAGGGUGCAGGCGUUAAUCGGAAUUACUGGGCGUAAAGCGUGCGCAGGCGGUCUUGUAAGACAGAGGUGAAAUCCCCGGGCUUAACCCGGGAAUGGCAUUGAAUACUGCUGAUCUGGAGGAUCGGAGGGGGGACUGGAAUUCUUGGUGUAGCAGUGAAAUGCGUAGAUAUCAAGAGGAACACCAGUGGCGAAGGCGAGUCCCUGGACGAUACCUGACACUGAGGCACGAAAGCCAAGGGAGCAAACAGG